GACGAACGCUGGCGGCGUGCCUAAUACAUGCAAGUCGAACGCAGUGGGGACGGGUGAGUAACACGUGGGUAACCUCCCAUAAGAGGGGAUAACACUUAGCAACAGGUGCUAAACCGAUACUGGAGGAUGUACCCGGGGUGGAUUAGGUAGGUGGGGGGGAAACGGCGCACCAAGGCCACGAUGCAUAGCCGAGCUGAGAGGUGGAGCGGCCACACUGGAACGGAGACACGGCCCAGACUCCUACGGGAGGCAGCAGUAGGGAAUCUUCGGCAAUGGGCGAAAGCCUGACCGAGCAACGCCGCGUGAAUGAAGAAGGUUUUCGGAUCGUAAAGCUCUGUUGUCAGGGAAGCGGUAUCUAACGAGAAAGCCACGGCUAACUACGUGCCAGCAGCCGCGGUAAUUC
rnacentral:rRNA from 1 species